rfam:Ophiophagus hannah scaffold3419.1, whole genome shotgun sequence.
UAAUAGGAUUUUUUAAAAACCACCGAAAGUAUGCUUAAAAUUAUUU